AACGCUGGCGGCGUGCCUAACACAUGCAAGUCGAGCGGAGAUAAGUUGAAGCCUAGCGAUUCUUAUCUUAGCGGCGGAUGGGUGAGUAACACGUGGGUAACCUGCCCUGUACUGGGAAUAACAGCUGGAAACGGCUGUUAAUGCCGCAUAUGCGCACGGAGCCGCAUGACUCUGGGCGGAAAGAUUUUAUCGGUACAGGAUGGGCCCGCGCCGGAUUAACUAGUUGGCGGGGUAACGGCCCACCAAGGUGAUGAUCCGUAGCCGACCUGAGAGGGUGACCGGCCACAUUGGGACUGAGACACGGCCCAAACUCCUACGGGAGGCAGCAGUGGGGGAUAUUGCACAAUGGGGGAAACCCUGAAUGCAGCGACGCCGCGUGAAGGAUGACGUAUUUCGGUAUGUAAACUUCUAUCAGCGGGGAAGAAGAUGACGGUACCCGACUAAGAAGCCCCGGCUAACUACGUGCCAGCCGCCGC
rnacentral:rRNA from 1 species